rnacentral:rRNA from 3 species
UACGUAGGUGGCAAGCGUUGUCCGGAUUUACUGGGCGUAAAGGGUGCGUAGGCGGACCUUUAAGUGAGAUGUGAAAUCCCCGAGCUUAACUUGGGGGCUGCAUUUCAAACUGGAGGUCUAGAGUGCAGGAGAGGAGAGUGGAAUUCCUAGUGUAGCGGUGAAAUGCGUAGAGAUUAGGAAGAACACCAGUGGCGAAGGCGACUCUCUGGACUGUAACUGACGCUGAGGCACGAAAGCGUGGGGAGCAAACAGG